rnacentral:tmRNA from 1 species
GGGGCUGAUUGGUUUCGACUUGGGACGUUGGUUCCAGGAGAAGCGGGUCGAGGAUCCAGGGUCAUCUCGUAAACGAACUCUGGAAACCAAUAACUGCCAACGCUAAGCGCAGUUCGUUCGCUCUCGCCGCCUGAGGCGACUAGCGACGGGUCAGACUGAGGGCGCCUCCGCCUCAGACCCUGGCCUUAUCUAGGAGGCUUGCUGGUCAUCGCUCGCCGUAGGCGGUGAUCAGGACUUUUCUACGGCUGAGUCCGUCGGUGACGUGUCUGUACGAGCGCCGGGACUGAGAAAACGCUGCUACAGACUGCACCCGAGAAGACCUGUAACGGCGCUCGAGGACCCGGGUUCGAUUCCCGGCAGCUCCACAU